rnacentral:snoRNA from 2 species
UGGUCCACUGAUGAUAAUUGGUGGCUUUUGAAUCAUAUGGAAUGAAUACCUCAUUUCUAGAACCCUGAGUUCCAA